rnacentral:rRNA from 1 species
ACCCCACUGCUAUCGGGAUGGGACUAAGACAUGUUAGUCGAGCGUCUCCAAGCUAUGAUGGAGGCGCGGCAUACAGCUCAGUAACACGUGGCUAACCUGCCCUUGGGACAAGGACAACCCCGGGAAACUGAGGCUAAUCCUUGAUAGGUGAGAACUCCUGGAAUGGAUUCUUGCUCAAAAGAUGCUUUGAUCAUGCUUCUAGGCAUCGCCCAAGGAGGGGGCCGCGGCCGAUCAGGUUGUUGGUGAGGUAACGGCUCACCAAGCCUCUGACCGGUACGGGCCGUGAGAGCGGAAGCCCGGAGAUGGGCACUGAGACAAUGGCCCAGGCCCUACGGGGCGCAGCAGUCGCGAAAACUCCGCAAUACACGAAAGUGUGUCGGGGCUAUCGGGGGGGGGGGGGGGCUGAGGAUAGCUUUUCCCCAGUGUACAAAGCUGGGAGAAUAAGGAGAGGGCAAGCCUGGUGUCAGCCGCCGCGGUAAUACCAGCUCUCCGAGUGGUGGGGAUGUUUAUUGGGCCUAAAGCAUUCGUAGCCUGCUAGCCAAGUCCUCCGUUAAAUCCACCGAUUCAAUCGUUGGGCUGCGGGGGAUACUGUCUAGCUAGGGGGCGGAAGAGGCCGACGGUAUCCCCGGGNUANGGGUGAAAUCCUAUAAUCCCGGGUGGNCCACCAGUNGGCGAAGGCUGUCGGCUANAACGCGCUCGACGGUGAGGGAUGNAAGCUGGGGGAGCGAACCGGAUUAGAUACCCGGGUAGUCCCAGCUGNUAAACGAUGCAGGCUAGGUGNUUGGCGCGGCUACGNUGCCGCUCCAGUGCCGCAGGGAAGCCGUUAAGCCUGCCGCCUGGGAAAUACGGCCGCAAGGCUGAAACUUAAAGGAAUUGGCGGGGGAGCACCACAAGGGGUGAAGCUUGCGGUUUAAUUGGAGUCAACGCCGGAAAUCUCACCGGGGGCGACAGCAGAAUGAAGGUCAGAUUGAAGGUCUUACCAGACAAGCUGAGAGGAGGUGCAUGGCCGUCGCCAGUUCGUGCCGUGAGGUGUCCUGUUAAGUCAGGCAACGAUCGAGACCCGCAUCCCCCUGUUGCCACCGGCCUUAGGCCGAGCACACUGGGGAAACUGCCGCCGAAAAGGCGGAGGAAGGAGCGGGCCACGGCAGGUCAGUAUGCCCCGAAUCCCCCGGGCUACACGCGAGCUGCAAUGGCAGGUACAGAGGGUACCAACCCCGAAAGGGGAAGGAAGUCCCGAAAGCCUGCCGUAGUUGGGAUCGAGGGUUGUAACUCACCUUCGUGAACAUGGAAUCCCUAGUAAUCGCGCGUCACUAUCGCGCGGUGAAUACGUCCCUGCUCCUUGCACACACCGCCCGUCGUUCCAUCCAAGCGAUACUUGGGUGAGGCGUGGUCCUCUGGGCUGCGUCGAAUCCAAGUUUCGUGAGGAGGG